rnacentral:tRNA from 1 species
AAAGUUUUAAGUUAAAAUCAAACUAUUAACCUUCAAAGUUAAAAAUAUGCACCCUAAGCAUAAGCUUUA